CUGGAACUCACUCUGUAGACCAGGCUGGCCUCGAACUCAGAAAUCUGCCUGCCUCUGCCUCCCGAGUUGCUGGGAUUAAAGGUGUGCUCCACCAUGCCCGGCUUCUUUUUGGUUAUUUGAGACAGGGUUUCUCUGUGUAUCCCUGGCUCUUCUGGGUCUUAAUUUGUAGGCCUGGCUGGUCUUGAACUCAUAUCUACCUGCCUUUGCCAGUCAAGUGCUGGCACUAAAGGUACACAUUACUACCACCUGGCAAAAUCUUAAACAACAGCAUUCAGGCAUGGUGGCACACACUUGUGUUCUCAGUCUUCAGGAGCCAGAGUCAAAAAGAUAGAUAUAAGUUUGAGGUUAGCCUGGUCAACAAGAUGAGUCGAGGCCUUUUCUCAGAAAAAAAUAGAGCAAACAACCACCAAACCCAAAUGUAUGUAAUUGGUUUUUUUGUUGUUUUUUUUGUUUUUUGUUUUGUUUUUAGUAUAUAUUUGAGUUAUGGAGAGUAGUGAGCCAACAACACAGUUCUGAGAAUUAAACUCAGGUUUCUGCAAGUGCUGUUUAUGAGUAUGUGCUCUCUUAAUUGCUGAACUAUGUCUCUAGCCCUGAUUUUUUAGUUGUUUUGGGGUUUGGUUUUAUUUAUUUUUAUUUUUGAGUUUUCUUUGAGACAGGUUCUUAAUGUAGCCCAGGCUGACCUCAAACCCAAUGUGUAGGUGAGGCUUCCCUUGAGGCCUCCACUUCUCACAGGCAGGAGUUGUAGGCUUGUGUCACCAUAUCUGCUUUUGCAUUGUGCUCUAGAUUUUAUUGAGGACAUGAAAAAGUGGAGAAAAGGAAACUAAGAUUUCAGGGUUUCUCUCUCUCUCUCUCUCUCUCUCUCUCUCUCUCUCUGUGUGUGUGUGUGUGUGUGUGUGUGUGUGUGUGUGUGUGUGUGUUCAUACACACAUAUGAGUAUAGCUGUAUGAGUGCCAUGACCUUUGUUGGGGCUUUUAAGUACCUCUCUUAUGGGUUCUAGAAAGCAAACUCCAGCUUGUAUGGAAAUAGUAUGACUUUUGCCCAGUGUUUAUAACUAUCUAAUGUGAAACCUUUGGAAAGUGGCACUUAACUCUGGUUUCCUGUCUCACUAUGCAGUGCUGGCUGCUGUUGAAUUCAGUAUGGGGAGACAGGAUGGCUUCUAGCUGAGAUCUAGCUGCCUCUACUGGGGUUAAAGGUAUAGGCCACCAUGCCUGAAGGAGUUUUGCUUUUUUUAAAAAGUUAAUAGCAAACUUGGCAUGCAUGUUUCUGGAUAUGUGGGAAAAUGUGUAAAAUAUAGUAGCUAUCAUUUUAACCCUUUAAAAUGCACAGCUUAGCAGAGGUUGAUGUCUGGCAUCUUCCUCUCUUCCUUUAUCUCUCUCCACUUUAUUUUUGAGACAGUUUUUCCUCUCUAUACUUAGAGCUCAUUGAUUGUCCAGACUAGGCCAGAGAGCUCUAGAAAAAACCAUGUUAUCCCAGACCCCACAGUGCCGGAAUUAUAGACAUAUGCCACCCAUGCUGGGGAUAUGAAAUUGAACUAUCUCAUCUCCGCAUCCCUGAUUCUUCCAUGAUUUUAGAACUUUUUAGUAGGUAUCAGUUUGGCCUCCACCUAUACACUGUGGCAUGUACUCCACCAUACAAUUUGAGAAAUAAAAGGUAAAUCCUGUGCUUGCUGAGGAUAGCCUGGAACUUCUGAUCAUCUUGCUACUAUACUUACAGAGCCCUGAAAUUUACCACUAUACCUGGCUUAUGCUGAGCUGGGGAUGAAAUCUAACCUUGAUAGGCAAGCUUUCUACCAUCAGAGCUACAUCUCUACCCCUGGCUAUGCCAUAAUUUUAUCUGGUUUUCCAGACCUAUUGUUUGGAAUAAUAUGAAAUAAACAGUUUUCAUAGAAGGUUUACAUAUGACUUGUUAAUACACAAAUUAAUGUCAUUAUCAUUAGUAACAAAGUAAAUGCAAAUCAAAGUUAAAUACAGAAAAAGAAAAUGAGAUAGCAGAAAAGAAUCUUAGCAAAGUUACUUGGGAUAUAAAAGGCAAUGAACAAGGCUGGAGAUAGCUCAGUAGUUGUAUAGGCAAGUCCUGGGUUCUAGUCCCAGUAUUAAAAAAACAAAGCAGUUUAUGUCAAAACCAGUGUUUUUAUGUUUUGUGUAAGAAAUUAUGGAUGUUUUAGGAUUUUUUUUGUUUUGAGACAGGGUCUUACUAUGUAUUCUUUGGCUGGUUUAGAACUCCCAGAGAGUCCAUUUGUCUCUGCCUCCUCAGUGCUGGGAUUAAAGGCAUGUGUGUUACUAUGCUAAGCAUGAAAUUUAUGAAUGUAUGUAUACAUGGAAUUACAUGACUUUUCUGAACUCAAGUUAGUAUUUGAUUGCUCUUGGGAGUUCCUUGUCUAUGAAAAUACUUACCUCUUAAGGUUUUCAAGUUAAUGUUUUGUUGUUCUUUCUACUUUCUAUUUUGCUUUAAAUCAAACCUCUAGAUGUCAUAUAUCAGAUAUCAUGCCUAUCAGAUAUUUAUAUGAUGAUUUCUAACAGCAAAAUUAGAGUUAUGAAGUAACCACUAAAUAAUUUUAUGGUUUUGGGUCACCACAACAUGAGAAACUGUAUUAAAGGGUUGCAGCAUUAGGAAGGGGAGAAUCGCUGCUUUAUUUUACUUCUCUGUUGGAAUGUAGAAUUUACUUCUUGUUUUGAGAGAUGCUUUUUAAAUUUUUUGUUUUUUUUUUUCUGAGACAGGGUUUUUCUGUGUAGCCCUGGCUGUCCUGGAACUCACUCUGUAGACCAGGGUGGCCUUGAACUCAGAAAUCUGCCUGCCUCUGCCUCCCAAGUGCUGGGAUUAAAGGUGUGUGCCACCACUGCCCAGUGCUUUUUUAAAAUUUUCCUCCCAAAUUCUCUCAUUGGGUUAGUAUUUCUCCCCUCCUCCUUCCUUCCUUUUUAAAGAUGAGUGGGAUACUUGAUACUGACUGAUAAAAACCUUUAAAAUUUUUCUGUAUAAAAAGGAGUGAGAAACUAGAACUGUAUGGAUGAAGAAAGGGAGGGCCAGAAUACUUGCCACUCUUUUGAAUUUCAGGGUAAACAUUAAGAAAUGUUUUGUGGCAUAUAACCCCUGCUUCUUAGAUUCCUCU
rnacentral:lncRNA from 1 species